AGUGAGGUGGCUGAAAUUGAGGCGAUAGACUGUAAAUCUAUUAAUGUGAUUUAUUCACCUUCACUA
rnacentral:tRNA from 1 species